rnacentral:rRNA from 1 species
GUGUAGGAUAGGUGGGAGGCUUUGAAGCAGAGACGCCAGUCUCUGUGGAGCUGUCCUUGAAAUACCACCCUGGUGACUUUGAGGUUCUAACCCAGACCCGUUAUCCGGGUCGGGGACCGUGCAUGGUAGGCAGUUUGACUGGGGCGGUCUCCUCCCAAAGAGUAACGGAGGAGUUCGAAGGUUACCUAGGUCCGGUCGGAAAUCGGACUGAUAGUGCAAUGGCAAAAGGUAGCUUAACUGCGAGACCGACAAGUCGAGCAGGUGCGAAAGCAGGACAUAGUGAUCCGGUGGUUCUGAAUGGAAGGGCCAUCGCUCAACGGAUAAAAGGUACUCCGGGGAUAACAGGCUGAUUCCGCCCAAGAGUCCAUAUCGACGGCGGAGUUUGGCACCUCGAUGUCGGCUCAUCACAUCCUGGGGCUGUAGUCGGUCCCAAGGGUAUGGCUGUUCGCCAUUUAAAGUGGUACGUGAGCUGGGUUUAAAACGUCGUGAGACAGUUUGGUCCCUAUCUGCAG